UUUAUAUUUCUCGUUCGAUGUCUGCAUCCAGAAUAGAAAAGCAUCAUUGACUUAAUCAGCUUUAAAUUUGAGGGAAAUUUUUAAUUGUACCGUUUAGCUUUAACGGGCUUUCGUUCCUCUUCAGUAUAAAGGUGUUCACUCUCUUCUUAAAUAUGGUGGAAAGGAGAUCUGUCGUUUGUCCUUGGACUGCAAUGAAAAUUUGUUUUCUUCCACAAAUUUAGGGCUCCUUCCUUCCUUUGUUGGUUGAGUUGAAUUUGAGUUUUGGUCCGUCAGAGAUGCGAAAUCAAGGGGAAACAGAGAAUGGAUUAUGGCUGCCCCUUUGCCAUUUAUGGCAACCCCGACGCUAAUCAAGCCAAUUAGACUCUCCUUCAUCGCCUCUAGCCUCCAAAUAACACCUCCCAGCUGUCAGUUUUGCCGAGAAUUGAAGAAGAAGAAGAAGAAGAAUCCACCAACAUGUUUUGUGCCAUUUCUGAUAACUCCAAUGCCGACCAAGCCUUUCAGACCCUUCCCCAUUGUUGCUGGACACUUGAGAAACUCUCUUGGCUAUUGAUUUGAAUGGAUUUUCGAAGGAGAAACAAAUUAAUCUCUGGAUGGUUGAAGCUUACGGCCUUCAAUUCUCAUAGCUCUAGUGAAAUUUUAGCGUGAAGAGGUUUCGAUGGAGCUUACCCUAAGCUUAUUCUACGGGUCACUACCUCCAACUACUCAACCCAACAUUGGCAGAGAAAAAAAAAAUGGAAAAAUCUUGAGCCAUUGCUGCUGAAGAUUUAAGCCGUGAGUUGAAAGAUGAAGAGGAACCAAAGAUUCGGGGAAAAACAGAACUUAUGGAUUCAACACCCAAUACUUCGAUGAAAUUCUAGCAUAUGAGGUUGCCAUUAAAUUCCUAUGAGCCUCUUCUUUCUGUCCCCAUUGCCAGUUAGGUGAUUUGCUGACCGUUAGCAGAACUCACAAGUUGCAACAGUUGGUUUAUCCUUUUUUCUUCUUGUUUCCUUUUUUUUUUUUUCUUUUUUUUUUAUUGAACACCUAUGCUUGUUUUUUUUUUCCCCAGAAAAUAAGCCCAUGUUUCUUUUUUUUUAAAACUAUAUUUAUAUAUUGGAUGCCUGUUUCUGGUUGCACUAUUAGUGUGACAGUAAAUUCUUCUUCAAGUGUAAUUUCUUGUUUGCUUUGCUGGAAUUUAAAUGUUUGAUAAGUUUACUUUUUGUGACUCCUUUGGAAUUUAAACAGUUUACUUUGCUGGAAUUUCUUCUUCAAGUGGCCUGCAGUCUCAAAUCUCAAUACAUCUUUGUGACUAGUUCCCUUUCUCUUCUUUAAAGAGAGUUUUGUUACAAUGAUUCCAAACUUACAUAGCUGUAUAAGCUAUUCUAUAUUCUUUCUUUCAAGCGUCAGCCUUUCAUUGUUUCACCUUAGAUUUGUAUUUGCUGACUGCUUUUAUGUAACAUCAUCGUGCCAUUUCUCUAUGCAUGAUCAGUAGUGCAUAUAUAUUUAUUAAAUAGAGGAAUUAUUAGUUAAUAAUUAGCAUUAAGUAAAGUUGUUGGUAGUGAUUUCUGCCAAAGUUGACUAGAACACACUAAUUUUAGAUUACAAACACUAGCUUUUUUUGUUAUUUUUUUUAUAUAAAUGUAUAUAAAACAAAUCACAAGGUUCUUUGAGGGAUUAGAUUCUUAUAUCAUUGAGCUCAUAAAAAUACAAUCACACUAUUAAUUCAUGACUCUCCUUAUAUCAAAUAUGCAUUCCUCGAAUUUGAAGGACAAGUGUAGUAAAUUAUGUAAGAUUCAACUCAUUUAUGACUUCGUUUUUUUUUUUUUAUUUUUUAAUUGGCUGUGUAAGAAUAAAAUUCUUUUGGUAAUUGUGGAUAUGGCUUAUUCAAAAUUUAUUUGUGAUAAUCACAUCAUUAUAACUAGAUUUUGAAUAUUGAAUGAACCAUUAUUAUAUAAUUUUCUCUUGUUGUAUUUGUAUAUGGAUAGAAUAUUUAGAUAGGCAAGGAUAAAUAACUUGACUAAUUCUUGUUGUAUAUGUUGGUACUCUUGAAGGUAGUGAUAAAGGUGUUCUUUAUAGUAAUGUAGAGCUAUGUGGGCUUGAUCCUCUUCCUUAGGAGGUGCAUUGGCAGACUUCCGGUGCAGUGCAAACGACCUGACACCUGAGUGGUGGAAGCAGUGGCAUUGGAUGAAGAGGAUGCGGUAGAUGUGGAUUUGUCCCCAUGGAUAACCACCUUUUCUUCAUGAUCAAUAAAGGGAGGCCUAGUUGGUGGAGUAUGCUCUAGUGAAUUCUUACUUUUGAGCAGAACAACCACAUCAGACAUUGUUGGCCUUAAAGCAGGUGAAGAUUGAGUGCACAUCAAGGCAAUCUCUAUGAUUCUCUUCACUUCUUGUGAGUCAUAUUCAUUCGGGUCUAAGCUUUCAUCCGCCAGUUCCAGGUGAGAGCCAUUCUCAUAUAGCCUCCAUGCCUUUUUUUAGCCACAAAAGUGUGAGAAAACAGUAUCUAAUUGAACAAAUCUGAUUUUGAAGUGGGAAAAAAAUAACUGAAUUAUAUUUUUCAAUUUUUGCUUCAAUCGAGCCUUGUAAUACUCACCCUUUUCAGGAGGUAAUCAGAGUCAGGAUCAACUAUUGUCUCAUUGCUCUUUCUGCCACUGAUGAUUUCAAGGACAACUACCCCAUAGCUAUAGGUAUCCACCUUUUCUGAUAACUGUCCAUGAAUUGCAUACUCUGGUGCAGUGUAUCCCCUGAUUCGAGAUUUGUGUUAAUGACUAUUAGUGGAGAAAACCAAUCACUUAUUUCAUGUAUGAUGAAGUCACACAUUAGGACAUAUGAAUGUUAUUGAUUUGAGUCAGGCUUAGCUGUUAGCUCUCUUUGUCUUUUUUGCUAGAGCAUUUUAAUGAACAACCCAAACUUUUAUUGCAUAAGAAUUUCCUUGGACGUA